rnacentral:lncRNA from 1 species
GACCCCUCAUUAAAAACAGUUGGAGCAUUGUGGGUUUGUUUUUGGGCUUGCACAGUUCCAUCAUUAAAACAUGUUUUGGGCUUGGGCUUGAGGCCCGGUAGGUAUCCAUGUAGGCGAUAACAUCUGUCCACAGUGUGAACAGGUGGGUCUCCUUCUUCCUUGAGUUAAGGCAACCGAGGGUCCGGAACCGUGACCUGUUUCUGCGUAUGAGUCGAACCCGAUUGCACGGUGUCGUUCCUCCUGCACCACCAGCGAGAAAACUUUCAAAAUGGAUGGGGAGCAUUCCAUCAUCAAAAUUUGGGCUCUAACAGCAGCAUAGGAGGGAUUUAAUCCCAUUAAGAAAGUCAUUAUAAACUCUUGUUCCUGAUAAUCGUUCCACGCCUUCAUGUUUCCGCAGUGACAGC